rnacentral:rRNA from 2 species
CCUACGGGAGGCAGCAGUGGGGAAUAUUGGACAAUGGGGGCAACCCUGAUCCAGCCAUGCCGCGUGUGUGAAGAAGGCCCUCGGGUUGUAAAGCACUUUAAGUUGGGAGGAAGGCUUUAAGGUUAAUACCCUUGAAGAUUGACGUUACCAACAGAAUAAGCACCGGCUAACUCCGUGCCAGCAGCCGCGGUAAU